rnacentral:rRNA from 1 species
CCUACGGGAGGCAGCAGUGAGGAAUAUUGGUCAAUGGCCGGAAGGCUGAACCAGCCAAGCCGCGUGAGGGAGGAAGGCGCAGCGCGUCGCAGACCUCUUUUGCCGGGGGACAAAAGGCCGGACUCGUCCGGUCCUGAGGGUACCCGGAGAAAAAGCAUCGGCUAACUCCGUGCCAGCAGCCGCGGUAAUACGGAGGAUGCGAGGGUUCUCCGGAUUCAUUGGGUUGAAAGGGUGCGCAGGCGGGCCUUUAAGCCGGCGGUGCAAUCGCGGGGCUCAACCCCGCCGAGCCGUCGGAACUGGGGGCCUUGAGUGCGGCGGCGGCCUGCGUAAUGCGCGGUGUAGCCGUG